AAGUUUGACGUAUAAGUUUACGAAACUGUUUUGUCUACGACGACGCAACGCGUACAUCAGACUAGAUACACCGCUAGACAGUGUUGUCGUUGAUGU